AGUUCAUCGCACGAGCCCAAGAGUAACGGCAUCAAUCCUUCGGUUGGAUCUUCGUCGCUGCAGAAUUUGGUGAAGUAAAUAAUUUCGACGUGUCCUAUGAUCUUCUAAGUUUAUUACCUACGACCGUCAGGACUUUAGGAACCACUGGCCAUCCGACGAUCACACGCGACAGCCAGAGCAAGCGGUACCUGAGAAAAUCCAACAAGCGAGCAAGUCCUCGCCCGAACGGUUACAUAUUUUCCAGGAAGCUAGGACAGUAAUCAUUUGCAACACUGAUUGCUCACCCAUUUGGAUGACCUUGAAAUAUGUUGCGUG